rnacentral:rRNA from 1 species
UACGUAGGGUGCAAGCGUUGUCCUGAAUUAUUGGGCGUAAAGAGCUCGUAGGCGGUCUGUCGCGUCUGCUGUGAAAACUCGGGGCUAAACCCCGGGCCUGCAGUGGGUACGGGCAGACUAGAGUGCGGUAGGGGAGACUGGAAUUCCUGGUGUAGCGGUGAAAUGCGCAGAUAUCAGGAGGAACACCGGUGGCGAAGGCGGGUCUCUGGGCCGUAACUGACGCUGAGGAGCGAAAGCAUGGGGAGCGAACAGG